GACGAACGCUGGCGGCGUGCUUAACACAUGCAAGUCGAACGGAAAGUCCCUGCUUUUGUGGGGUGCUCGAGGGGCGAACGGGUGAGUAACACGUGAGUAACCUGCCCUUGACUUUGGGAUAACUUCAGGAAACUGGUGCUAAUACCGGAUAGGAGCACCUGCUGCAUGGUGGGGGUUGGAAGGUUUCGGCGGUUGGGGAUGGACUCGCGGCUUAUCAGCUUGUUGGUGGGGUAGUGGCUUACCAAAGCUUUGACGGGUAGCCGGCCUGAGAGGGUGACCGGCCACAUUGGGACUGAGAUACGGCCCAGAGUCCUACGGGAGACAGCAGUGGGGAAUAUUGCACAAUGGGCGGAAGCCUGAUGCAGCAACGCCGCGCGCGGGAUGACGGCCUUCGGGUUGUAAACCGCUUUCGCCUGUGACGAAGAGUGAGUGACGGUAAUGGAUAAAGAAGCACCGGCUAACUACGUG
rnacentral:rRNA from 1 species